CCAAGGAGUCUAGCAUGUGCGCGAGUCAUUGGGAUGUCUCGUACUAAACCCAGAGGCGAAAUGAAAGUGAAAGGUCGCGCCUGGCGCGCGUCCACAAGGGGAGAUGCGCGCGCGUCGUCUCGACGCGCCGCCGCAUCCCCGAGGCGUUUCGAGAAAGUCACCGUGCGAUUAUCGAGACGCACUGAGAGCGUACACGCUGGGACCCGAAAGAUGGUGAACUAUGCCUGGUCAGGUCGAAGUCAGGG
rnacentral:rRNA from 1 species